CCUACGGGUGGCAGCAGUGGGGAAUAUUGCACAAUGGGGGAAACCCUGAUGCAGCGACGCCGCGUGAGUGAAGAAGUAAUUCGUUACGUAAAGCUCUAUCAGCAGGGAAGAAAAUGACGGUACCUGAGUAAGAAUCCCCGGCUAACUACGUGCCAGCAGCCGCGGUAUUACGUAGGGUGCAAGCGUUAUCCGGAUUUACUGGGUGUAACGGGAGCGUAGAUGGUACGCCAAGUCUGGGGUGAAAUGCCCGCGCUUAAGGUGGGGACUGCUUUGGACACUGGCAAACUGGAGUGCGGGAGAGGAUAGUGGAAUUCCAGGUGUAGGGGUGAAAUGCGUAGAGAUAGGGAGGAACAGCAGGGGGGAAGGCGACUAUCUGGCACAUAACUGACGCUGAGGAGCGAAAGCGUGGGUAGCAAACAGGAUGAGAUACCCGUGUAGUC
rnacentral:rRNA from 1 species